CCUAGUGAAGAGUCCAGAUGUAGACUUAAAGAGCUCUGGAAUCUCCUCCAAGGGUUCAGCCAGAAGCCAUCUGACUGGCUAUGACCAGUAUUGGGGACUUUAUUCUUCCAAAGGCAGUCUAUCCAAUUUUUGGACCACUCUGAUGGUGUCAGAGGCCUUCUGUAGAUUGAGCUCAAAUAACUCACUUCUAGUUGUCUUAGGUCAACAAUGUGUGGCCACAGAGAUUAAGUCAAACUCCUCUUCAUCUCUGUGCUGUUCCUGAAUUUGCCAGCCUUCCAGGUUUCUGAGUUGUUGAUAAACACCGCACAGGAGACAUGAGGACAGAACCCUUCAGUGGAGACCUGUUUGGAUAUUGCAGGGGCUUUCUGUGCCCCGCCUAUGCGUGAUUUCAGCGCUGUGGAUUGCCAUUCGUGCCAUGGCGAAUGUAUGGCAUUUAGAACAUCUUGGAUUUCCCAUCACCCCUCACCUUUCUGCAUCUAUGUUGGCCUUAUUCAUAUAACAAACCUUGGCAAUCUUGUUCAUGUGAAAAGUGGUGGAGCAAAUAACUCGGAACAUGUUACCUAUUCCAUUGACUCUGCAACUUCCAAGCAGGGCAGUUCGACUUGGAUAUACAAACC